rnacentral:rRNA from 1 species
UACGUAGGUGGCAAGCGUUGUCCGGAUUUACUGGGUGUAAAGGGUGCGUAGGCGGGUCAUUAAGUCAGGUGUGAAAUACCGGAGCUCAACUCCGGGGCUGCACUUGAAACUGAAGAUCUUGAGUGUCGGAGAGGAAAGCGGAAUUCCUAGUGUAGCGGUGAAAUGCGUAGAUAUUAGGAGGAACACCAGUGGCGAAGGCGGCUUUCUGGACGAUAACUGACGUUGAGGCACGAAAGCGUGGGGAGCAAAC